AGCGGGGUAGAGAAUUGGUCAACUCAUAAGGCUCAUGACCUGAAGACUGCAGGUUCGAAUCCUAUCCCCGCCU
rnacentral:tRNA from 1 species